UGAGUACGAGCUGCUACGGCAGCGAAGUGGGUGAUGUCAAGCUUCCAAGAAAAGCCCUAUACCCGUUAAGGCAUGAUGGCCUGUACCCGAAACCGACACAGGUGGGGUGGUAGAGAAUACCGAGGGGCGCGAGGUAACUCUCUCUAAGGAACUCGGCAAAAUGGCCCCGUAACUUCGGGAGAAGGGGUGCCACCGCGAGGUGGUCGCAGUGAAGAGGCCCAGGCGACUGUUUACCAAAAACACAGGUCUCCGCUAAGUCGCGAGACGAUGUAUGGGGGCUGACGCCUGCCCAGUGCCGGAAGGUUAAGGAAGCUGGUCAGCGCAAGCGAAGCUGGCGACUGAAGCCCCGGUGAACGGCGGCCGUAACUAUAACGGUCCUAAGGUAGCGAAAUUCCUUGUCGGGUAAGUUCCGACCCGCACGAAAGGCGUAACGAUCUGGGCGCUGUCUCGGAGAGAGGCUCGGCGAAAUAGAAUUGUCUGUGAAGAUGCGGACUACGUGCACCCGGACAGAAAGACCCUAUGAAGCUUUACUGUAGCUUGGUAUUGUGCCCGGGCUCUGAAUGCGCAGGAUAGGUGGGAGGCUUUGAUCCAUUGCUUGUGGGUGAUGGUGAGCCACUGGUGAGAUACCACUCUUUCAGAGCUAGGGUUCUAACGGUCACCCGUUAUCCGGGGACCGGACAGUAUCAGGUGGGCAGUUUGACUGGGGCGGUCGCCUCCUUAAAGGUAACGGAGGCGCGCAAAGGUUCCCUCAGGCUGGUUGGAAAUCAGCCGACGAGUGUAAAGGCAGAAGGGAGCUUGACUGUGAGACCUACAAGUCGAACAGGGACGAAAGUCGGCCUUAGUGAUCCGACGGUUCUGAGUGGAAGGGCCGUCGCUCAACGGAUAAAAGUUACUCUAGGAUAACAGGCUGAUCUCCCCCAAGAGUUCACAUCGACGGGGAGGUUUGGCACCUCGAUGUCGGCUCAUCGCAACCUGGGGCUGAAGUCGGUCCCAAGGGUUGGGCUGUUCGCCCAUUAAAGCGGUACGCGUGCUGGGUUCAGAACGUCGUGAGACAGUUCGGUCCAUAUCCGGUGCACGCGCAGGAACAUUGAGAGGAUUUCUCCCUAGUACGAGAGGACCGGGAGGAACGCACCUCUGGUGUACCAGUUAUCGUGCCAACGGUAAACGCUGGGUAGCCAUGUGCGGAGUGGAUAACCGCUGAAAGCAUCUAAGUGGGAAGCCCACCUCAAGAUGAGUGUUCCCAUGGCAUAAGCCAGUAAGGUCACGGGAAGAACACCCGUUGAUAGGCUCUACGUGGAAGCGUGGCAACACGUGAAGCGGAGGAGUACUAAUAGACCGAGGGCUUGACC
rnacentral:rRNA from 1 species